AUUAUUUACCUGGUAAAUACAGGUAACUUUGAGCCCAUUACAUGUAGUCGAAGGAUAAGCAAACUAAAUGUAACAAGCGUAAGGACCGUCAAUCGUUUUGUACCUUCACUGGACCAACAUUUAGUAUAUGUGAUUAAAGCCGCUAAGUAAAAUAAGGAGGACAAUGUUUCUGCUCUUCCGACCACUCCUGUAACCUUAAUACACGAUUAUCCACUGACAAUGCAUCUAAACACGAACUAGGAACUACGACGCGAUCGAUCGCUCGACGUCGACCAUUUGAAUCUGGAUACAUUGAUACAUUGUCGCCGAAGAGGAGAACAAGGACUAGAAAUAAUUAUCAAAUAAUAUUCUCGUGUAAUUUCAAGGAUGAACCGCAAACAGAAGAGAAGAUACAAAAGUUGCAGAAUCAGAUAGAAACAUCAAACAAGUCCUGCAAUAUCAAUUACAUACUUUAUUCUUAUUUUGAACUAUUUUAUUUUAUAAAAACAAUUUCAAUGAUAUUUUU